rnacentral:rRNA from 1 species
GACGAAGGAUGCAAGCGUUAUCCGGAUUCAUUGGGUUUAAAGGGAGCGUAGGUGGUCUACUAAGUCAGUGGUGAAAUCUCUCGGCUUAACUGAGAAAUUGCCAUUGAUACUGGUGGACUUGAGUGUAGUUGCCGUUGGCGGAAUAUGGCAUGUAGUGGUGAAAUACAUAGAGAUGUCAUAGAACACCGAUUGCGAAGGCAGCUGACGAAACUAUAACUGACACUGAGGCUCGAAAGUGCGGGGAUCAAACAGG